CCCAAACGUCCAAUACUGCACGGAUUUUCGCAGAGCCAAGUCAGUAUUCCCGCCACCGUCAAACCCGAAGGACCUAUCGUUUCGGUCCAUGACGGGACGGAAGUCUGUCAAUGGUACUGGAUGGACAUUAGGCCCUGCCGUCCUGAGGCCAAUGUCAAAGCCAACUGACCCCAGACCAUCAGGACUGUCCACAGGCAAAAGGACAAGAUCCUGGUCAGGAUAGGUGGUACUCCUAGCUCUGGUUGGGUGAUCUGGUGCUGGUGGUAUCUGGAGCUCAAUAGAUUUAUUUCAGUUCAGCACAACUUACUUGUUGCCUUUUGCAGUAGUUUUUAAGCCAGGAAAUAGCAUUGAUGAGGUGCUAGUGCCUUUAUGGUUGCAUGUUAGGGAAAAUCAUGAUCCCCUCCAUGAUGGACCCUAAGGGGGGCAUGUGACUGUCUAGGUUCUAGUUACUUUAUCACUGAUAUUUCGGGGUUAAAUUCUGUUGUAAUCGGGGCAGGUAAGUGUAGUUGUUCUGCAAUAAGUCUCUUGUAGUAAAAGAUACUCUGGUGUUGGAAAGUCUGAUAGGGGUGAAGGGUCAACUUAUUCUGUCUGACAGAAAAGCGAGCCCCUCGGUCAAGGGAGUACCGGGGGACGUGCCUAGAGGUGGCAUCAGGAGCCCUGCCAGGUCUCGGAAAGCUGACUGUGCUCACACUAGCGAGAGCAGUGUAGAGCCAGUCAUCAAAAGGGCAUUUGUCAACAAGGCGAUAAAGACCCUAAGGAUGGACAGAGUGGCAGUAAUCUGUUUAUUCCAUAAAGCUGUGGUUGCCUGGAUCUAAGCCAUCAGGCUGAUGGAUAGGUCCAGAGCAAGCCCAAGUACCUGGAUGUGGUGCUGGAGCCCCUGUCCGGUCUCCGAAAGCUAACUGCUUUGCACACUUGAUAUUCAGUGUGGGGCAGUCCAAUAGGAUCAGGUCACCAAGAUCCUACGGGUGGGACAUAGUGGCAGGACUAUGUCUCCGUAGAGCAGGGCAUGUCCAUAUGGCAAGUAAGAUGUGCGAGAUCCACGCUUUGGCUGCAUCACAAGCAUGAGUGCCAUGUCCUUCAGGGGAAUGUCUAACGUCAGGACAUUCACCGGGUCGGGGUUUUAAAGCGAGCGUGAUCUAGCUCUGGAUAGAUGAAUUAGCAAUGGGGAUGUUUGGAAUCUCAAGAUGGUUCAUUCAUUUCCCAAUUCGUUCCGUCACUUCCUUCCCAAUGUUUGACUCCUGGUACAGACAUGAAGCUGGUACAAGUUAAGCAAUACAGCGUCAUGAUUGGAGCGCCAGGUCUGUGUGGUCCAGGCCUGGUAAUCCAAUGGACCACCAUGUGUCAGACUGUUAUUGCUUGUAAAUCUUGUAUUGGGUGAUUGUUUGUGUCUUGGGUUAAAUACUUGGGAAGGAAUGGACAGAUCUAGUUGAGACUUGAAUUAGUCAUCUUGUGAUUUCUGAUAUCUCUAUUGGUUUGAAGUCUAUGUGGAGUCAAGGUUGCGUAAACUUGAAGAAUCCUGGCUAUAAGGAUGGACUGCCAUGCCCCACCAAACCCCAGGUGUGUAUCACAACAUAAACGAUCAACACAAGGUCAAAAUCAAAAGUUUGUUUGCCCUCAACAGACUGACCCACAAAAACGGGCCAAUUUUUUUUUCAUUUCAAAUUUAA